rfam:Danio rerio chromosome 4, GRCz11 reference primary assembly.
GGCGCUGUGGCUUAGCUGGUAAAAGCGCCUGUCUUGUAAACAGGAGGUCCUGGGCUCAAAUCCCAGCAGUUCCU